rnacentral:rRNA from 1 species
AUUGAACGCUGGCGGCAGGCCUAACACAUGCAAGUCGAGCGGAUGAAGGGAUCUUGCUCCUGGAUUCAGCGGCGGACGGGUGAGUAAUGCCUAGGAAUCGGCCUGGUAGUGGGGGAUAACGUCCGGAAACGGGCGCUAAUACCGCAUACGUCCUGAGGGAGAAAGUGGGGGAUCUUCGGACCUCACGCUAUCAGAUGAGCCUAGGUCGGAUUAGCUAGUUGGUGGGGUAAAGGCCUACCAAGGCGACGAUCCGUAACUGGUCUGAGAGGAUGAUCAGUCACACUGGAACUGAGACACGGUCCAGACUCCUACGGGAGGCAGCAGUGGGGAAUAUUGGACAAUGGGCGGAAGCCUGAUCCAGCCAUGCCGCGUGUGUGAAGAAGGUCUUCGGAUUGUAAAGCACUUUAAGUUGGGAGGAAGGGCAGUAAGUUAAUACCUUGCUGUUUUGACGUUACCAACAGAAUAAGCACCGGCUAACUUCGUG